rnacentral:rRNA from 1 species
GACGAACGCUGGCGGCGUGCCUAAUACAUGCAAGUCGAACGCAGUGGGGACGGGUGAGUAACACGUGGGUAACCUCCCAUCACAGGGGAUAACACUUCGAAACAGGUGCUAAACCCAUACUGUUGGAUGGACCCGCGGUGCAUUAGCUAGUUGGUGGGGUAACGGCUCACCAAGGCAAUGAUGCAUAGCCGACCUGGGAGGGUAAGCGGCCACAUUGGAACUGAGACACGACCCAAACUCCUACGGGAGGCAGCAGUAGGGAAUCUUCCGCAAUGGGCGCAAGCCUGACGGAGCAACGCCGCGUGAGUGAAGAAGGUUUUCGGAUCGUAAAGCUCUGUUGUAAGAGAGGCGGUAUCUUACCAGAAAGCCACGGCUAACUACGUGCCAGCAGCCGCGGUAAUAC